UACCCGCUGAACUUAAGCAUAUCAAUAAGCGGAGGA
rnacentral:rRNA from 15 species